CCUACGGGAGGCUGCAGUCGAGAAUCUUCGGCAAUGGGCGCAAGCCUGACCGAGCGACGCCGCGUGGCGGACGAAGGCCUUCGGGUUGUAAACGCCUGUUGGGGGGGACCAAGGCUAGGCUCACGCCUGGCUUGAGGGAACCCCUGAGGAAGCACGGGCUAAGUUCGUGCCAGCAGCCGCGGUAAGACGAACCGUGCGAACGUUAUUCGGAAUCAUUGGGCUUAAAGCGCGCGUAGGCGGCGGCGCAAGUCCUCGGGUGAAACCCCACCGGCUCAACCGUGGGACCGCCCGGGAUACUGCGCCGCUGGAGGGGGGCAGGGGCCCGCGGAACUUCCGGUGGAGCGGUGAAAUGUGUUGAGAUCGGAAGGAACGCCGGCGGCGAAAGCGGCGGGCUGGACCCCUACUGACGCUGAGGCGCGAAAGCCAGGGGAGCGAACGGG
rnacentral:rRNA from 1 species